rnacentral:rRNA from 1 species
UGCAGUCGAACGGGCGUAGCAAUACGUCAGUGGCAGACGGGUGAGUAACGCGUGGGAACGUACCUUUUGGUUCGGAACAACUGAGGGAAACUUCAGCUAAUACCGAAUAAGCCCUUACGGGGAAAGAUUUAUCGCCGAAAGAUCGGCCCGCGUCUGAUUAGCUUGUUGGUGAGGUAACGGCUCACCAAGGCGACGAUCAGUAGCUGGUCUGAGAGGAUGAUCAGCCACAUUGGGACUGAGACACGGCCCAAACCCCUACGGGAGGCAGCAGUGGGGAAUAUUGGACAAUGGGCGAAAGCCUGAUCCAGCCAUGCCGCGUGAGUGAUGAAGGCCCUAGGGUUGUAAAGCUCUUUUGUGCGGGAAGAUAAUGACGGUACCGCAAGAAUAAGCCCCGGCUAACUUCGUGCCAGCAGCCGCGGUAAUACGAAGGGGGCUAGCGUUGCUCGGAAUCACUGGGCGUAAAGGGUGCGUAGGCGGGUUUCUAAGUCAGAGGUGAAAGCCUGGAGCUCAACUCCAGAACUGCCUUUGAUACUGGAAGUCUUGAGUUCGGGAGAGGUGAGUGGAACUGCGAGUGUAGAGGUGAAAUUCGUAGAUAUUCGCAAGAACACCAGUGGCGAA